ensembl:lncRNA
CUUUUAUUUUGUUAAGUGAGCAUUUCUUCUUGUUCUGCGGUUUCUGUGACGCCGAACUUCCUGUUUCUUUGCCUAAACAACGUUGUGCUCACACAUCGUCGGAGAAACGUUAAAAAACUCUAAAAACAGUAGUUAUACAUCACGUUUAUCUAUUUGAAUUGUAUUAAGGAAGGGUUUACAUUGUGAUUUACCUCGUUAUACUGUAUUCGUAGCUCCGAGCAGCGGCGUGUGUGUGUGUAUGUCGAGCUGGAGAGCAUGCUAGCUGAUGGCUAACACUUAAAUUAGCGCCCUUGGAACGGCGGAAUGAGUUUUCACGGUGCUUAUGGUACACGUGCUGGUCGAGAGUAAGUGUCAAGUCAAACUGGGAGAAGCUGAAACGUCAGAGAAAGAAGAAGCGUUCACACAGGUGCUGCACUCAGCUGGGGCGGAACCAAUCUGCGGCUGCAGGUUUGCUACCUGCAGCAUAAAAAGGGACACACUCAGCACUGAGGAGGAACGGCGAAUGAAUGACCUCGCUCAACAAAGUGGCUGUGAGCGUGAGGAUCUGCGGCAAACUGUGCAGGACUGCUUCAUCUACAGAAAUCCAGGUAGCAGCAGGUUAAAAGCAGCAGAAGAGUGUUUCCGGCAGGCCAAGGAGAAGGCUUCCUACAGUGUUAAACCCAAACAUGCCUCUGGCAUCAAAGCCAAGCUUGGCAUGAAGAUUUAAGUCAGUGGACUUGGUAUGUUUUUUUUUCCCUGACUUUGGACACCAGCAAUGAGUCACAUUCAAUAGAGCAGAAGAUCAAACUAAGAGACAGAUCAUGACUGGCAUAUAUGUGCAGCUGAACCUACACUAGACAUCUUGCUUGGCUUGUUUAUUUCUGUUUGAUGACUUUUGUCUGUCAGCUAUCAGCCUGUUGCCUUACAUGACUCAUGAAAUCAACUCAGUAGUGAAAGAAUGCUGCAGCAGGGCCAUCAGUGACAUGCAGCGUAUUGUAGACAUCAGCUGGAAUAUCAACAUACUGUCUGUGCAGCCUUUUGCUCCACAUUUAUCAGAUAAUUUAAUGCCUUCUUACUAAUGAUUAUACAGCUGAAUGGUGAAGUCGAACAGUAAACUUGUUGCGUUUGAGGGAGAAAAAAGGUUAUCUUUUUACUUUGUCUAUAUCAACUUCCCACAAGCUCAGUAAGAUGUGAUGCUGAUGGAGAACCAGACUGAAGCAACGAUCACAUGACUCAGUAUUCUAAUCGUUUCAGAAAGGAUUCAGACUUUGUGCUCCACUGGGAAAAAAACUUGGCUUUCAAAAGCAAUGUCACAAACUGGAGUGAGUACAUGUAUAUUUAUAGUAACUGCUUAAGAGUUUACCUUGAAGUAUCUCUUCUAAGAUGUAUGAAUUCAAUGAGCAGAAUAGCCAACAGUUCACUCUAUUUCUCCAACCUACAAAGUGAGGUCAGAAAAGGGAGCAGAUCUGAAUAUUGUCUGAAGCACUGUUGCUAACACUGACUGUAACUGUCUGUCUGGUCACCUGUUGGUAUUUAGAUAGAUAGAUAAACAGCUGUUUGAAUCACUGACUCCAGCAGUAUUCAUAGGUCAUUUUUUGUCUGCAGUUUAAAUCAAAGUCUAUAGGAUCUCAGUUGUGGUUGGUUUGUUGGCAUGUGUGGGUACAGGUUGUAACGACACGUCUUUUAUUAGUCCAGAUCUGCCACCGACAGCUGCUCUGUCAGAAAUACAACAGAAGAACAAGUGCAGUCCAAACAGUCACAGAACUGAAUGAUGACUUUAGUGAUGCAAUUUGUAAUGUGUCUUAUAUGAAAAGACCACAUAUUAUCUGUAUGUGAUUUUGAAUUUAUGGAUUUUGCUAUUAACAGUGGUAAUGGUGACUUUAAACAGUUCAGCAUUCAGAUCAGCCACAUCUGGAUGCUGAACUGUGAAUUUAUUCUACAAAUUUCCAAUGAAAAAUUCUGUGGGAUGGUAAUUUUAUCAUGUUCCAAAGUUAUUACAAAUGUUCAAUGUGUGCGGCGCUUGUGACGCGACACACAUCAAGUCGGUAGUGGAGUUCCUGCUACACUUGAUGCAGCAUGUCGUGUCUAACAUUCUCCAGAGCCUCAGUGAUUCUGUUCUUGAGUUCCUCUACACAGCAGAUUCUCGUUAAGAUAAGCUUGCACCCUGAGUUUCCAGUCUUUAAACAAAUGAUUUGGUGAUGGAAUGAUGUCACAUUGUAUUUCUGUGAACAUGUUAUAGGUUAGGAACAUCAGAGACAAUACUUCACAACAUGCACUGUAAGGCUGUGAUGUUUGGUCCAUAACACAAGGUUCAGGACGCUAUAAGCCUGCAAGGCUGGACAGAGAUAUCUUCACUGCAUUAACGCACUUGACUUUUCCAUUUAAUAGUUUAUGCGUUUAGUUGGAAUGUAACUGAUCUUGCUUAUCCAACACAUUCUGUAGAUAUAACAGUUUAGAGGCACCACACUUUCUGCUAUGGGGGAAAACACUGUGGCUAAGAGAAAGAUGCAGCUUUCAUGUUUCCUCAAAAUAAUGACAGGUAGAAUUGCUAUGGUGGAACAUUUGUGUGAAGGGAGGCAAGAACUAUGAUUAAAAUGGCUAAUUCACUGAAAACACAACUAGGAAGACUGCAUUCUUCCAAAUCCAGACCCAGAUCCUCAGAAAAAGUUGAAAUUCUGAGUGUGGUAGGAGACAGGAGCAGCCAGCAGCAGCCUUAUACCUGCAUCCUGUAUUCAAUGAGUUCCAUACAGAACAUUCACUCUUGUUACAAUCCAUUAAUGAUUGGAUUGGAUGUUUUGUUGUAAAAGGAUGCAGUGGUGCUUAGUGGCAGCUUAGGAAAAUCCAACAUCUGCUGCAAAUGUCUGCCAUCCCUCAUGUUGGUUGCCUUGUCCUAGGAAAAUAAUGUUGAAGUCAUUUUUGUUAAUUAGUUAGAUAUUUUAAAUCAUCAUGGGCCAUAGAAAAAAAGUGAUCAACUUUUGGUGUGAGUUGCACCACUAUGUGGCCGUAUACUGCACACAAUGAAGCAGUGGUAUUUGCACUUCUGCUAUAUAACCCCUGCAAGCUAAAAAGUCUGGUGGUAAUGACUUUCAGUACCAGCUCAAAUCUGUCCUAAAUUUCAAACACAGUUAAGCUUCUUUCAAUUAUUGCAUAAUAUUCUUUCAUGCCUGGCUGUUUUGGAGGUUUAUGGUUUGAACAUAAUCAAGCUGCCACAACAGUUGAAUAGGAUCAACAUAUAAAUGGAUGUGAAGUUGUGAAUUCAUCUUUGCCUUGAUGUUUUGUUAUAUUCAAUAAUUAAUCAGAUGCCACCCAAAUUGUCCACUAUGAUAUGUUUUUGAUUAAACUAGCAUAAUUGGAUUGAAUUUUGAAAUGAAUUCAAUUCAAUUUUAUUUAGUUUAAUGCAGUUUAUUUAUUUUUAUCCCCUGAAUGUGGGGGUGUGAAGCAUUCCCAGCAAUACACAGAGCUGGGUCAGUUUGUCUUUACCACUGAGGUAACAGAGGAGUGGAGUUACCAGUAUGGAUUUACAGCGUGGAAAAGUAAGAGAACUGUGGCUUCACCUAAACUACAGCAAUGAACACAUUCUUUUCAAUGUGGCAGUAAAUGGCCUCACCAUGACAUUGUAACUCUCUUCAUGGACCUUUAGACGCCUCCAUGAUGCUUUUUGUGAUGCUACAUCCCCACUGUCCAAUCAAACUUUGUCUCUAAGUGAAAAAAACUACUUCAAUAAACAAUUGUACAGCAGCAGUGGUGAUUGGCAGAACAAUAAUGUCAUUGUGCAUUUUUUAAUUUAUGUUGAAUGCUAUGCCAUACCAUACCUGAUACACUGUGCGUGUCUGUAUGUGUGUGUUUUCUCAUCACCUGGUUGAUCACAUCUCUCUGAUUGAAAGCUGGGGUGAAGGAUGUGUACAGUGUAUUGAAAUACAGGUAUUGACUUUUGUUGCAAAAUUAAUGUAAUAAAUUGUACAAAAAUAUAUAUAUUGUGAGGCACGUUUUCUAUUUCUUUCACUGAUGUCCUCUUCAGUUUGCAUGAUACAACAGGAAGUUGAUUGGGUUUGAACAGUUUGUGCAUAAAAUGUUUCUGCAGACAUGCAUAUGAACAAG